AUUGAACGCUGGCGGCAUGCCUUACACAUGCAAGUCGAACGGCAGCGCGGGGCAACCUGGCGGCGAGUGGCGAACGGGUGAGUAAUAUAUCGGAACAUACCCUAGAGUGGGGGAUAACGUAGCGAAAGUUACGCUAAUACCGCAUACGCACUAAGGUGGAAAGUGGGGGAUCUUCGGACCUCAUGCUCAUGGAGUGGCCGAUAUCUGAUUAGCUAGUUGGUGAGGUAAAGGCUCACCAAGGCGACGAUCAGUAGCUGGUUUGAGAGAACGACCAGCCACACUGGAACUGAGACACGGUCCAGACUCCUACGGGAGGCAGCAGUGGGGAAUUUUUGGACAAGUGGGGGCAACCCUGAUCCAGCAAAUGCCGCGUGCGGGGAAAGAAAGGCCCUUCGGGUUUGGUAAACCGGUACCUUUUGUUC
rnacentral:rRNA from 1 species